rnacentral:rRNA from 1 species
AUGUCGCUGGUGUUAGCGGCGGGGCUUCCAAUGCGGCCCCGGGUGGGCGACGUAGCUUGUGGAAUUGCGUCUGGAAGUCCUCGGUCCCUCAAAAAAAUGAAGAUUACAAUGUGGAAAGCUGCUACUGGAGCCCUUCCAACACAGAGUUACAAGAUGCUCAGGCAUCUGGCGACCAGAUCAACAUGCCCAGUAUGUGGCCGAGAGGAGGAAGGUUCAUACCAUGCCCUGGUGGCGUGCUCUCAUGCUAGAAUGGUGUGGACCAGUAUGAGGGAGAGAUGGCCUCUCCCAGAUGACAAGUUGCUGGUGGAUAAUGGCAAGGAGUGGAUCCUACAUCUGUUAUCGAGCUGUUCUGAUGCUGUUCGUGACAUGAUUAUUAUGUUAUGCUGGCGUAUCUGGCAGCUAAGGAACGACCUCACUCAUGGCAUGGAAACCCCUCCAGUUCAUGUGACAGUCGAAUUUUUGGAUAGCUACUACAGAUCGGUGUGCCUGGCAGGCCGGUAUACUAUAGAGGAAAUUCUCAAGGGGAAGAUGCCAUCUUCGUCUCUCCCAAGCAAGGCAGUGAAGACGGCGCCAGCAGCAGCACCGUGGCCCAAACCACCACAAGGCCGGGUAGCACUCUCGGUUGAUGGUUCUUUUAGUGGUACCGACGGAUCAGCGGCAACAGGGAUGGCAUUGGCUAUCCAACAUUCCUCGCUCCCGGUUAUUGUACAGUCGGACUCAUCGGAGGCGCUCUCGUCUUUACGGAAUCAGGGUCUUGAGCGCUCUGCUUAUGGUCAUAUAGUUAGAGAGAUCAAAGAGUUGUUAGUCAGCAGGGAGUUUUAUCCUCAGAGAAUUCACCGUAGCCAAAACAGUGUUGCAGAUCGUUUGGCCAAUUAUAGCCGCAUCGAGAGCACAACUGCGGUGUGGUUGACCUCGGCUCCACCAUGUAUCGAGGACCUAUGGCCUCUGGAUUGUAACACUUCUUCUGAGUAA